GGACCUAAGUAUGUGAUGAUGUGUCCUCCAACGCCUUGUUACCAUGGCGCCUGCAGGUAUUGAGGCAGGAAACGAUAGUCUUUACCACUUUGAGACACCGUGACUUCUCACUUGUUGUAUUUCUGUAAGUCUUCAUUGUUAACCCUGUGAAUGCUGAGGUAGCAUGUGAAUACAGGUAUUUCUCAUGGUGUUCCCCAGUACAGUACCCGUCAUAGGAUUUCUACAGGUGUCCAGUGAAAGAAGGAUAUUCCAUCUGGCAUUGGUGUUGACCUUGGAUUGCUGGCACGUAUCCAGGUACGUGUCAAGACAUCAUCAUUAAACCAGCACUGCUCCUCAGUGGUGGACAGCGCUGGUAUGCAGGUACUCAGGUAGGAAAUGGCUGUUGUCACCACGUCUGGAAACCAUGAGUUUUCAUGUAUCAUAUGUAGAGACAAUUCUGGGUGAGCCAUGUGAGUGACGAGCACUGGCCAUAUUCAG